rnacentral:pre_miRNA from 1 species
UUCAGGAGGGCAGUGUUGGGUACCACUGUCCUGGGUGCCUGGCAGAGCUCGUGCACUGGCAUCCAGAACAGCGGUACCCAAGGUUGCUCACGUGCUACUGGA